rnacentral:rRNA from 1 species
GUGUCAGCAGCCGCGGUAAUACAGAGGUCCCAAGCGUUGUUCGGAUUUACUGGGCGUAAAGGGUGCGUAGGUGGUCGGGUAAGUCUCAUGUGAAAUCUCCAAGCUUAACUUGGAAAUGGCAUGGGAUACUAUUCGGCUAGAGGAUUGGAGGGGGGACUGGAAUUCCCGGUGUAGCAGUGAAAUGCGUAGAUAUCGGGAGGAACACCAGUGGCGAAGGCGAGUCCCUGGACAAUUCCUGACGCUGAGGCACGAAAGCUAGGGGAGCAAACAGGAUUAGAUACCCCCGUAGUCC